AACGUAGGUCACAAGCGUUGUCCGGAAUUACUGGGUGUAAAGGGAGCGCAGGCGGGAGAACAAGUUGGAAGUGAAAUCCAUGGGCUCAACCCAUGAACUGCUUUCAAAACUGUUUUUCUUGAGUAGUGCAGAGGUAGGCGGAAUUCCCGGUGUAGCGGUGGAAUGCGUAGAUAUCGGGAGGAACACCAGUGGCGAAGGCGGCCUACUAGGCACCAACUGACGCUGAGGCUCGAAAGUGUGGGUAGCAAACAGG
rnacentral:rRNA from 1 species